rnacentral:rRNA from 1 species
ACAGCGAUAAGGGGACCUCGAGUGCCAGGAUACAAUCUUGGCUGUCGUGAUGCCUAAAAAGCAUUGCAUAGCAAGGGCCGGGCAAGACCGGUGCCAGCCGCCGCGGUAACACCGGCGGCUCGAGUGGUAACCGCUAUUAUUGGGUCUAAAGGGUCUGUAGCCGGCCGGAUAAGUCUCUUGGGAAAUCCAGCAGCUCAACUGUUGGGCUUUCAGGAGAUACUGUUCGGCUCGAGACCGGGAGAGGUGAGAGGUACUUCAGGGGUAGGGGUGAAAUCUUGUAAUCCUUGAAGGACCACCAGUGGCGAAGGCGUCUCACCAGAACGGAUCUGACGGCAAGGGACGAAAGCUAGGGGCACGAACCGGAUUAGAUACCCGGGUAGUCCUAGCCGUAAACGAUACUCGCUAGGUGUCGGCCACGGUGCGACCGUGGUCGGUGCCGUAGGGAAGCCGUGAAGCGAGCCACCUGGGAAGUACGGCCGCAAGGCUGAAACUUAAAGGAAUUGGCGGGGGAGCAC